AUUGAACGCUGGCGGCAUGCCUUACACAUGCAAGUCGAACGGUAACGGGCCUUCGGGUGCCGACGAGUGGCGAACGGGUGAGUAAUGUAUCGGAACGUACCUUUCAGUGGGGGAUAACGUAGCGAAAGUUACGCUAAUACCGCAUAUUCUGUGAGCAGGAAAGCAGGGGAUCGCAAGACCUUGCGCUGAUUGAGCGGCCGAUAUCAGAUUAGCUAGUUGGUGAGGUAAAGGCUCACCAAGGCGACGAUCUGUAGCGGGUCUGAGAGGAUGAUCCGCCAGACUGGAACUGGGACACGGUCCAGACUCCUACGGGAGGCAGCAGUGGGGAAUUUUGGACAAUGGGGGCAACCCUGAUCCAGCCAUGCCGCGUGAGUGAAGAAGGCCUUCGGGUUGUAAAGCUCUUUCAGCCGGGAAGAAAACGUAUGGGUUAAUACCCUGUGCGGAUGACGGUACCGGAAUAAGAAGCACCGGCUAACUACGUGCCAGCAGCCGCAGUAAUAC
rnacentral:rRNA from 1 species